GACGAACCGAGCGAACGUUGUUCGGAAUCACUGGGCUUAAAGGGCGCGUAGGCGGGCGGUCAAGUCAGGGGUGAAAGCCUCCAGCUCAACUGGAGAAGUGCCUCUGAUACUGAUCGUCUCGAGGGGGAUAGGGGCGUGCGGAACUUCCGGUGGAGCGGUGAAAUGCGUAGAUAUCGGAAGGAAGACCAGUGGCGAAGGCGGGUCUCUGGACAGUUCCUGACGCUGAGGCACGAAGGUCAGGGGAGCAAACGGG
rnacentral:rRNA from 1 species